AAUUGGCGUAGAACUCAAAAACAUAAUGAAAGACCGAUUGGUAAAAAACAAUCAGGUGAUUACCAUUGAAAGGAUAAUAUCUGUGUUUUCUGAAGCUGAGUUUGUGUUCCAAGAGGAAGACAUUAAUUAUGAGUCUUUUUCCAUUUCAUUGGAGAUGUUAUAUAGAACAAAUGAGUGUUUAAUUUUUGGUGGGAACUUGGAGGGCAGUACACUAGGAAGGGUAAGGCUAGUGGAUGUCCUUUCAUUAAUUUCAUAUGUGCAUUAUGUUUGCCUUUUGGAGUAUUUGUUUCCAUAAAUCACUAAAAUGGAAGGGUACUUUUGUGUACA